GCAGUGGUGGUUCAGUGGUGGAAUUCUUGCCUUCCAUGCUGGAGACUUGGGCUCAAUUCCUUGCCAUUGUA
rfam:Loxodonta africana unplaced genomic scaffold scaffold_4, whole genome shotgun sequence.